rnacentral:lncRNA from 10 species
UGGGAUUCAAAUGGCCUGGCAGGAAGUGCUCUAGCAGAGGGACUCUGGCCUUGCAAGAGUCCCUAUUUCCCCCUUUUUUUUUGCUUUUCACACAGUAAAACCCUGCUUUACUUCCCUUUGAGUCGUCUGUGAGCCUAAAUUUUUGUGGCUGUGGGAAGGACAAGAACCCCAUCUUUAGCUGAAAUAAGGAAAAGUUCCGCAACAUUUUUGGCACACACCCUGGGGGCUCCGGAAGUGGAUUAUGUUGGCUCGGAGAAUGAUACCUCAAAGGCUGGUGCUGAGAGUUCUUAGAAGCUGCUUCAGAAUCAAGGAAUGCUGUCGGAACUGGACCUUGAUGAAGGAAAUACUUUCUGACUCAUUGGAAUUUGUUAUAGUCAAAAACCCUCAACCCUGCAUCCUACCAUCCUGGGCUUGCACUGCAAGUUACAUGAUCCCUGAGCUGACCACUUUGGCUUGAAUCCCUGGAAGGAGAAAGGAGAGAGAGAGCAACUAGUUCAGACACAAGCAUCUAGUUCAGCUUUGUUUGCCUAUGUGAUAACUUAGGUCUUCACGAUGGCCCAGAGUAAGACGACGCAGGAGGACCCUUCUAGUCAUUUAAUUAUUGCUUGACCAGAACUGUGCCUUGUAAGGUGUUUCCAGACCUAAGAAUAACAGGAACAUGGAGGAGUGGCAUCUCCAGUGUAGCCACCCACCAAAGCCUCAUCCUGAACACUAUGGCCUAGUGGGUCACUUACAGGGAUGUAGCUGGCAUUGAUGUAGUCAGAGCAAGGAUCAUCAUCUACAUUGGAGAGCUUCACUCGCGUGGCAUCAUCUGGAAGGAGAGAUUUGCUGCUGAGUCUUGGAGUGACUUUUCUACAGUUUAUGUGAUGUGUGUGAUGUGCCUUAGCUCUGAUCCCCACAACAGCCACAGAUGGGAAGUGAUCUUAUCUCCAUUUUGCAGAUGAGGCUCAGGCAGGAUAACUAACUUGCCCCAUGUUGCAUAGGUGGCCUAUAACCAGUCAGACACAGGAGACAACAUGAAGCCCCAUCUGUGCUUCCCUUUCUGACAUUACCACAUUUGCCUGAUGGAGUGGCCAGCUCCCUUUCACUGCUGGAAUGAAUACAAUCCAGAAAACCUACCUUCUAUUGCUUUACCUAAUGGGGUAAGGAAAUUUAAGUAGAAAUUGCUAACCGAAGACUUUGCUAAGCAAACCCAGGUCUGCUUGAUGUCAGAGCCCUUGCUGUUAACCCCAUUUACUGCUUAGCCUCCAAAGAGAAGCAAUAGCAUCACAUGGGGAAAUGUCAACAGCAUAAGAGGACUUUCAUAAUCAGAAUUUAAACUGGCUAUUAUCCCUCUGGAGGGAAGUGCAGGAAUAUACAAGCUAUUUCUUAUUAAAGGCAUUCAGAGCUUGAGAUUGUCCAUAUCGAGCUAUAUUAUAUUUCUUUAGCCUCAUUUCAUUUUUGGAGAAAAAUGCAGAAAUGGCUAGAGGAAGACAGUAUUACAAAUUUUGACACAAAACUUACAGGGCAAUAUAUUGUUGUAUCGAUUUUUCCCUCUAUUCUCCGGCAAGAGUGCAAUGUCACAUGACUGGUUUCGGCCCACGUCUUUUAACUCCUGUUAGGUCAAAUAUGAGUUUGUAAGUGGAGAAUAUGAAAUAGAAUAAAGCAAAUCAUACAGUCCUGGAGAUAACAUAAUAACAUGAAAAUAUAUACACUAGCUAUUGUUUAUGAAUGCCUAGUACUCAACAUGCAUUAGCCCUGAUCCCCACAACAGCCCCACAAGGGAGGUGGUGGUCUCACUAUUUUACAGGUGAGGCUCAGUCAGGAUAACUGAUGUGCCCCAGGUCACCCAAGUGGCAAACCUGAGAAUCAGUUCCAAAAGCUACGUGCUUUUUGCGAAACCACGGCAUCUUCCAGCCAAGCAAAUGGCCAGGCUGAAUAUCUGACAGCUUUAGGUCUGCAUUUGAGAUUUGUUAAUUCUUCCUUACUAUCUGAUCCAGGUAGCCCUUGGUUUGCUGUGUUAUUCUGGAGCUCAAGCUGGCCUCUAAGAUUAGAUGGUAUAUUCUAUUCAGGGCAUAGUUUAGGCAUAAAAGAGUGCUCAGCUGAGAUUCUAA